rnacentral:rRNA from 1 species
AUACGUAGGGAGCGAGCGUUGUCCGGAAUUACUGGGUGUAAAGGGAGCGUAGGCGGGAUGGCAAGUCAGAUGUGAAAACUAUGGCUCAACCCAUAGACUGCAUUUGAAACUGUUGUUCUUGAGUGAAGUAGAGGUAAGCGGAAUUCCUGGUGUAGCGGUGAAAUGCGUAGAUAUCAGGAGGAACAUCGGUGGCGAAGGCGGCUUACUGGGCUUUUACUGACGCUGAGGCGCGAAAGCGUGGGUAGCAAACAGGAUUAGAUACCCUGGUAGUCCACGCUGUAAACGAUGAUUACUAGGUGUGGGGGGACUGACCCCUCCCGUGCCGCAGUUAACACAAUAAGUAAUCCACCUGGGGAGUACGGCCGCAAGGUUGAAACUCAAAUGAAUUGGCAGGG